CAGUAGCCACGGUAACACGUAUGUCACAAGCGUUAUCCGGAUUUAUUGGGCGUAAAGCGCGUCUAGGUGGUUAUGUAAGUCUGAUGUGAAAAUGCAGGGCUCAACUCUGUAUUGCGUUGGAGACUGUGUAACUAGAGUACUGGAGAGGUAAGCGGAACUACAAGUGUAGAGGUGAAAUUCGUAGAUAUUUGUAGGAAUGCCGAUGGGGAAGCCAGCUUACUGGACAGAUACUGACGCUGAAGCGCGAAAGCGUGGGUAGCGAACAGGAUUAGAUACCCCAGUAGUCCCUGUCUCUUAUACA
rnacentral:rRNA from 1 species